UACAGAGGGUGCAAGCGUUAAUCGGAAUUACUGGGCGUAAAGGGCGCGUAGGCGGAUAAUUAAGUUAGAUGUGAAAUCCCUGGGCUUAACCUGGGAACUGCAUUUAAUACUGGUUGUCUAGAGUAGAGUAGAGGGAAGUGGAAUUUCCGGUGUAGCGGUGAAAUGCGUAGAGAUCCGGAAGAACAUCGGUGGCGAAGGCGGUCUGCUGGGGGUGAGGCUGACGCUGAGGCGCGACAGCGUGGGGGAGCAAACAGG
rnacentral:rRNA from 1 species